rnacentral:rRNA from 1 species
UACGUAGGGUGCAAGCGUUGUCCGGAAUUAUUGGGCGUAAAGAGCUCGUAGGCGGUUUGUCGCGUCUGCUGUGAAAAUCCAGGGCUUAACCCUGGACCUGCAGUGGGUACGGGCAGACUAGAGUGCGGUAGGGGAGAUCGGAAUUCCUGGUGUAGCGGUGAAAUGCGCAGAUAUCAGGAGGAACACCGGUGGCGAAGGCGGAUCUCUGGGCCGUAGCUGACGCUGAUGCGCGACAGCGUGGGGAGCAAACAGG